UGGUCCAGGCACAACUCUGUUUGCACAUCCCUCCUCUUGCAAAUCUCUUAAGAACGCAUGUUUUGUCCUUGUUGCAGAUGGAAACGAUGCAACAGACCAAGGUGAAAGCUGAGAUCCAGUCCCUGGGGUCCAUAGCCGGGUCUACCUGCCCAACAAGCUGCGCUACGGGGGGGCUGGAUAUGAUCGCACACUGCCACUCUGUGAGUCAGAGCAGGUGGUCCAUCUACCCCCGGGCCACCCAAUGCCCAAUGCUGGCCAGCCGGUGUGCUCCAAAUUCCCCUUCCUGGUGGCUGAAAUGGUGCAGAAGAACACCAACGUGGCGAGGGAGGCCCGCAUCGAGCUGUCAGAGGAAAUACAGGACAGGAGUACAGUCUACACAGAGAAGUCUGAGUCCAAGGUGUAUCCCGCUGUGGGUCCCGAUCAAUGCUGACAGGGCCGACCCAGGCACCCUGAAGAACAUGCUGAAACAGCGCCCCCCUAAGGUCUCUCACUUACUACGAGACAACCUGCACAAAGGUAAACACCUGCUCACAUGUAUCCUGGUACACUUGGGGCUACACGUUAUAUUUUUGUGUAUCGACUGUUCAGGCAUCCCUGAUUUUAGAAAGAGGCUGCAUCCAAACUACAGUGACAAAGACCUUACCCGUUGUUAUUUCUCUUGCAGCGUGUGCCAACUUCCACUACCACAAGUUCUUCGAGAAGAAGAUUGA
rnacentral:lncRNA from 13 species